rnacentral:rRNA from 1 species
UACGUAGGGUGCAAGCGUUAAUCGGAAUUACUGGGCGUAAAGGGCGCGUAGGCGGCUCAUGAAGGCUGUGGUGAAAGUCCGGGGCUCAACCUCGGAUCGGCCGUGGCGACUCGUGGGCUGGAGCACUGUAGAGGCGGGUGGAAUUCCGGGUGUAGCGGUGGAAUGCGUAGAGAUCCGGAAGAACACCAGUGGCGAAGGCGGCCCGCUGGGCAGUGGCUGACGCUGAGGCGCGACAGGCGUGGGGAGCAAACAGG